GAGAGGCUGCUUUCCUGGGCCUACAAUUGGGGUUCCCUUCUCCUUGCCAUCUCCAGAAACUCCAAGAGCUGACCCUCUGUCUUACUAACUCAAAUGGCCCAGAAACAUCAAAGUCUGACCAAAAACCGUUAAUGGUAGUCAGCUCCCUCCCUUUCACAGAGGUCUCACUACUGUCGGGGGGCGCCGGGCGCAGGCCGGGCGUGAGGCCUGGGCUAGGCCAGGUGGAAAGGUGGAAAGACCUAGUUGGGACAGACGAGGAGACCAAGGAGCCGCCCACCCGGCUAGAUGGACACAGGAAAGGCCUGAGUCAGGCAUCUCAUAAUAAAUAAACUGCACGUGAAUAAUUCAGCAGUCGCGCGGGGGCUCGUUUCAUUAGCGCCGCCGCCGCCGCCGCGCGGCGCCCAAGUCCCCGCGGAGGGGAGUAGCCAACUAAGGCACUUGAAGAGGGAGUCGGGUAGAAGAUCCCCCGCCCACCACUAUCCUGGAUUUACCUAGGUCGAGUUCAGAGAGCCUCCCCGGUCCCAACCCCCUCGGGCCCCAUGGGUCAGGGGGCCGCCUGCUGGGCGGUGCUACCUCAGCUAAGCCGCUCCGGUGUCCCAAGACUCCGGGCAAGGGAAGACAGGAGGCGAGACGGAGCCAGAAUAAGGGAUGCGGACGUCUGACCUGCGGAAAAUCCAGCAUCUGCAGUGCCCAGCUGCACAGGGAACGUGGGCGGCGUGGUUCCAAGCAAAGUGAAGACGCCAGGCUCGGAUCUGUGCUCAGAGCCGGGAUCCCUCUGGGCUGCUUCGUCCUGGCCGGGAUUUUCCUUGCCCUGAAGUGACGCGCCAGGGAAGCUGCAAGGCCCUCCGCCCUCUAUGAACUCCCACGUACUUGGGCCUCUCCGAGCCUUUCUUGGGCCUGUGGAUGCAAUUCCUGCAGCACCAGACUCCCCUGUCUCCCCGCCGCCCCCUAGGUACACUCCGUAACUUCCGAAGCCUUAUUUCGUUUGAGCGAAACCGGGCCCCUUUGGCUCUUGUCACUUCCCACAAGUCCCUGGGUUCCCGAUUCUGAGGGAUCGCAUUCAUCCCAUCUCACACCCACCAACGCUCAAUCCCUCCAGUUCCUCCCCAGCCCCUUCACUUCCAUUAAUUAGGUCGACUCCCUUCCUUCGCCGCCCCCUCCUGUCCCCGCGUAGCCUCUCUAUACCUAUGCGGCGAGCCUCGGGCCAAGACCUCCGCCCUGGCUCCGCUAGUCCUGCGGGGGCCGGCAUGCACCAGGCCUCAAAAGGGAUCUUCACGGGAAUUCCGCAUAGCCAGAUCCCAAGCCUCCAGAGAGGCCACCAGCCCUCCCCCAUCUUCUUCUUCCUCCUCCUUCUCCUUUCCUCUUCCCUCCGCCUCUACGUAUUUCUUUCUAUUCGUUUCUUUUCGUUUGGUGAGGUGCCACCCACCACAGCUCUGUCCCCUAGGGAGAGGCCUGGACUAACUUUGCCGUCCUCGUGGCCUUAGCCCGGACUGUGAGUCUCGAACGGCUUCCGAGAGGCAGCUCGGGUGUCUUCGCGGAGACAGCCGAUGGGGUGCCGGGCGUUAGAAACCUUCCCUCCAAUCCUCACCAUGUCUCCAUUUUGCCAAAGAAGAAACUGAGGUUAAGGUCGCGAUGCUCUGGCCAGCAUCACAGGUAAACGAUUUUGGCAGUGCCCGGAGGAGGAUGGAAGGGCCUCUCUCUGAGAUUUGGUCCUCCUCCUGCAGGACAGCAGAGUGGAAGCCAGGGCCUGGGACUCUCUGGUUGGGCAAGGAGGGACUGGAGUCCGGCUCCCGGCGACCCCGUCCCCAGUCCCAGCGGCGGGGUCGCCCGUGGCGGCGCAGACAGGCCACGGGUCCCUCUCCACAAGUCCCAUUACGUUGUAUUUAUGUUUCAUUUUAUUGUUUUUUUUUCCUCCUCCCUUAUUAUUGUCUCACUCUGGGGGAGGCAAAGGAUAUAAUAUAUUCAUCUUUAUUAUACCAAAUCUGUGUGAAGCAUUUAAUAAAACGCUGUUUCCACACA